UAUAGUGUUAUUUGACAAAACUGUGGUACUUUUUCUUAAUGAAUUUCAUUUUCGGAGAAGAAUUGAGUGUAAUUUUAAUGGCACCACUUGGCGGGGUUGCAAACUCCAUGAUAUCCAUGCCUUUUUUCUUACAUGUCUUUUUUCUUUUCCACACUAGGCUGUUGUUGAAGCUGGUUUAUGGCUCAGUUCAGAAUAACCUUGUGCAGGCAUUUUGUGAGCUCCUGCUUUCCCACCCUCAGAUCAAACGUGGUCAUAAUGAUAUGGCCUUCAAAAAUGUGAUGCUCACAUUAAAAGUCCCCAUAAACAUGGCAGGGAUCCUAUAAUUAAAAGAAGGCGCAGAGCAACUGAUUAGAUCCCAGGUAUAGAUCUUGUAGGUGGUCUUUUCAUGCUGUUAAAUUGGUCAUUUGUAUUUAUAGCUUUGGCAGGGAGGGCUGGAACCUAAACUGGCUCUAAUCCCAGCACUCUCCCACACUUGGCCUUAUCUCAUUCUCCAUUAAUUUCACUUGGCAUCCAUGAACGGAGCCAAAUUCUAAAUGAUUCUGCCUGAACCAUUCUAGCCCUAGUCUGUGAAACUAUUUUCUGAGUUUCUUUGACCAACUGAGAUUAGAGAUAUUCUUUUUUGUUUGUUUGUUUGUUUGUUUGAGACGGAGUCUCGCUCUGUCGCCCAGGCUGGAGUGCAGUGGCCCGAUCUCGGCUCACUGCAAGCUCCGCCUCCUGGGUUCCUGCCAUUCGCCUGCCUCAGCCUUCCGAGUAGCUGGGACUACAGGCGCCCGCCACCACGCCCGGCUAGAUUAGAGAUAUUCUUAAUAUCAAAAAUUGUUUUAUUUUACCUGUGUAACAAACCUUCACAUGUACCCCCAAACCUAAAAUAAAAGUUAAAAAAAAAAUCUGUCUUCUAGUAAAAAAUAGAUAAAUUUACCAGACUUAAAUAAACAAAAGCAAUAAUUCUGAUUUUCUAUAUUGAAUGCAAAAGGAUUUAUAUAAACAGAUGAGUAUUCCAUGACAGCUGGGACUGUGUCUGUUUUGUCCUGUUCACUUACUUGUCCCAACAUAAUAUAGGCUCAGCCUGUCCCAUGAUAGGUGUUAAUAAGUAUUUGUUGAAUUUAUGAACAAACAAUUUAAAUUGUGUAAAGUACCUGGAGGCUACUUUUUCGCCCUCCCUCGGUUUUCUGUUUAAAUCCUUUUCGAAUUGCUGAAUCAUCCCAGAAUCUGGAGAGGUACAUUUUUGGUCAAUAGUACAUUUCUGUGAUCAGACCUCCUGGAUAUAGAAUCAUCUUUCUAUGUUGGGCAUAUGCAUAUAAUCUAUUCUUAGUAAAUACUUGGGUCAGAUUAGAUUGACAAAGGCCAUACUUAAAUCUCUAAGUUGCAAAAUAAGAGCAGGUUAUUAUGUAAUUUCUUCACUUCAACCCCCAGAAAUGUAGAAACAAAGCAAUCUGAAUCACCAUAUUCAACCACUAAGGUUACAGAGAUCAGGAAAGGUCAGUAAUCUGAGCAGUGUAACCUGUGAGGGAAAUAAUUCUGCCAUUCUUUACAAAGCUUGUGGAAAGAAGAAAUAUGGCUGGAGAACAUGCACUCUGCAUCAGCCAAAAUGGGUUCUUGUAUACCCCACUGCUACUCAAGAAAAUACCAACAGUCGUGGUUCCAAAGAUCAUCACAUGGCCAAGAAUUAAGAUAAUCUCUUGUGACUUCCGGAUCACUUAAGUAACAGAGCAGUAAUCCAUGGAAGAUGAAGAAAACUAUUUGGCUAGGUGCAGUGGCUCAGGCCUGUAAUCCCUGCACUUUGAGAGGCCAAGGCGGGUGGAUCACCUGAGGUCAGGAGUUCAAAACCAGCCUGGCCAACAUGAUGAAACCCCAUCUCUACUAAAAAUACAAAAAUUAGCCGGGCAUGGUGGUGUGCACCUGGAAUCCCAGCUGCUCUGGAGGCUGAGACAGGAGAAUUGCUUGAACCCGGGAAGCAGAAGUUGCAGUGAGUCAGGAUCAUACCACUGCACUCCAGCCUGGGCCACAGAGUGAGACUUCUCCAAAAAAAAAAAAAAAAAGAAAGCUAUUUUAUCAGAGAUCUAUUAAGUAGGCUUUUAUCUAAAAGGGCUAGAGGGGAUUUUUUUUUUCCAGAAAUUCCUGCAAAGAGCUUAUGGUUUCCCCCUGAAGUCAGUUUCUAAUGACCAUCCAGUAAUGGAGUUGUUAAAUUAUGGUAUUUCCAUACAAUGGAAUACUAAGCAUCUGUUUAAAAAAAAAAAAAAAGUCUAUAUGUAUUGACCUGGAAGGAUCCCUAAUGUUUAUGUUUAAGUGGAUAAAAGCAAGGGUCAGAAGAGUAGUUAUGUUAUUAUUAGGUAUAUUAUUUUAUCAUUCAGAUAAAAGAUGAAGCAAAAAAUGAAUGCUACCUAACAGUGAGAACAAAUAAGAACUAACCUAAGACUGACCAGGCGCGGUGGCUUACGCGUGUAAUCCCAGCACUUUGGGAGGCUGAGGCAGGCGGAUCACGAGGUCAGGAGAUCGAGACCAUCCUGGCUAACACGGUGAAACCCCGUGUCUACUAAAAAUAAAAUUAAAAAAAAAUUAGCGGGGCGUGGUGGUGAGCACCUGUAGUCCCAGCUACUUGGGAGGCUGAGGCAGGAGAAUGGUGUGAACCUGGGAGGCAGAGCUUGCAGUGAGCCGAGAUCACACCACUGCACUCCAGCCCAGGCAACAGAGCAAGACUCCGUCU